ensembl:lncRNA
CGGGGCUGCAAUCUGUUCCUUCUCCACCCCUCCCCCGCUUAAAUUCUUCUCUGGGGAAUUACCAUUCCUUUUCAAUCUGAUGGUUUAAUCUCUCACUGCUCUCUGCCUGUGUGUCCCCCUCAUUUCCCUUUCCAGAGCUACUGCGCUCACUUUUCCCUCUCCUUGUUGCCAGGAUGAGGCGCUUCCAUGGCACUGUGCUCAGAGAGGCUUUUGGACACCUCGGGCCCACCGCAGCGGGAGGAGAAGAGAGAGCCUACCAAUGCAUGGCAGGUGCAAAUGCUGCCACAAGGCUGAACACCUCCUUCCCUUCCAAGGUGCUCUGUGAAGCUGGCAGCCCGUGGCUUGGACAGCUGCAUUGGGAUGGAAUUGAUACAGAGGCCUGGAUUUUUGCAACAUUCUCCCUCAUGCAGGACACCUCUGGGAAACCACCCGCGCUGCAGGGAGGAUCCUGCCAGCACCACUGGCAAUGCCAGGGCAGCCAUCUGCUGCAGGUGACCGUCCUCCUCUGCCACUCCUCCCAGGUGAGCACUGCUCUCCUUAUUCUCUUUGUCCUCUGUGAAGGGCUGGGGGUGUUUUGGUCAGUAUGGCUUCAAGGCACCAAGGAGAGGUGCUGACCUCAGUUCUUCCAUGUUCAGGAUGGUGAACCUUGGUGCUGGCCGUAGGGGCCCCACAUCACAGUGCCACUUGUGGCUAUGGCCCUGUCCUGCAGUGGAAGGUCCUUUCCUGUCUCCGUGUGUAAGCUACAUUCAUGCCGAAUCACAGUGGCAUUCCUUCCUUUGGGCAGCAGGCACUCAGAGCCUUGUUGGGCUGUCCUGACUCAGUGCUCAGGGCUGUGCGCAAAGGAAAUGUUCUCCUGAGGUUCCUUGCUGUGCUCAGAUUUGCUCCUGAAGCAGGAGAUGUAGUGAUCUCAACUUCAACACGGAUAAUUACAAUUGUAGUUCCUGCCCCUUCAGUGAUGCAGGUCUGUAUUCAACCUGACUGGGGUCUGUAACCUCUGCUAGCUGCAAGUGCUCUCAGCCACUGGGCCUGCGUGUUGUGUGAAGUGCUGUUUGUUUUUCCUUCUAUUCUUGCUAAUGUUACCUGCUGUGGAUGAUGCAAUCAGGCUGACAACCUGCUGUGGAUGAUGCAAUCAGGCUGACAACCUACUGUGGAUGAUGCAAUCAGGUUGACAAGCAGAGAUCAUGGAGAGGUUCUAAGUCCAGGAUGGAAUAAGGAGGGAAAACCUAAAACUACAACAAAAUCAAAUAGUGCACCCUAAAAACAGGGUUUCUGUGGCAGAAACUUGUUUGGAUGUGGAGCUCAGUCAGGGGAUAUGUGCAAGGGAGCACCACAGAUGGGCUAUGCAUGCUGGAGCCUCCAUGCUGGGGAACAUCCACUUGGCACCUUUCUCUGGGCUGUAGCCCUCUGUACUUCAGCCAUCUCAGCCCACAGUUCUGCUGAGUCCAAGGGCUUCAGGGAAACGAGGAGGAGUGAGUCUCUGGGGUUGGUUUGACAAGGGAUGGCAAGAAGCAACACCAAAGAUAAGUACAAGUAUAUCUGGGCAGGAAGACAUGAAGCUGAGCUGCUGCAGGUGCCCAUAGUGGCAGAUGAUGUGACUGUGGAUGAUGGGUGGCUUGGGAGGUUCAGGGUAGACACUGGGAGAGGAUUCUUCCAGGAAGGUGGUGCAGCACUGCACCUGGGACAGUCAGGGACUCCCCAUCCUUGAGGGUUUUUAAAAUUGAGCUAGAGAAAUCCAUGGCUGAUCUGAGUUAGCACUGGUAACAGCCCUGCUUCUCAUGGGGCACAGGACCAGCGGUGUCCGGAGAUCUGUUCCAGCUGACACUUCUGUCACUGUACUUACAUUAAAACUAAAUAAACAUGGUCUGAUGUUGACUUAACCUUCCCAGCGAGCAUGUUGAUCUGCUUUUAUUGACAUGCUUCUUCCUAGAAUCUGAUCCUCACUAAAAAUGAGUGAAAAUGGGGGGUGUCCUAUGUGUUACCUGGAGAGGCACACGAGUGGGGUUUUUGGUUCCAUCCCUCAGGCUGUGGGACAGCUGGCACAGGCAGCACACUCGCUCCUAUGAUGACACAGUGACACAAUACCACCCUUUACCAAGCUCUGUAGAUGCAAUUACUGGGAUAUGGUUUUCCAGAGAACGACCUCUCCUUGCAGUCAUGGUCUUGAAUGGCCCUUCAGCACGUGCUUCUGGUGUGCUUUUGCACUUCAGCAGCUGCUUUAGCAGGCUAUGGUUAGUGAAUGCUCAGGGAGUCUGGCGCCAGAUGUUCAUUCCCUAAACCGUGAGAUGUAAUAACACAUUUCUGCCUCAUUGCAGUCACAAAGCAGGACCUCUGUGUGCACAGCCUGGGGGACUCCUUCCCGACCUGGGGUUAAAGCUCUGCCAGAGCUGCUUCCUGCCGUUAUCCUGUCCCUUCUGGUAACCACCACCCUUAACAAACCCUCUCCCACCCCUCGCUCCCUGUUACCUGGGAUGGACAGUCAGAAACCAAAGAUGUGCAUUCCUGUAUUGUUUCAUGGUGGAUGAGGUGGUGUUUCUGGUUGGAGAAACCCUUCUUUAUGCUCCAUCCCUCCAUCAGAGGCACAGGGAAUGGUGAGCAAUUAAUCUGAAACUCUGUGCAGUAAAACGCAAAUCUCCAUAGCUUGAGAAAUUCUGGAUGAAAGCCAGAAAAGUUUAACAAGGAAAUGUGUUCCCUCCAGCGUAAUUGUGCGUUUGGCUUCUAUUUUAGUAAACGAGCAACAGCUGAACAGAGGCCAAAAGGAGAGUCCCCCCCCAUCCUGAGCUAAGAAAACAAUUUCAAAUAGGACAAACUGUCUUGUUCCAGGGAGGAGGUCUGAUCUGGAGAGUGAAAACAGCUUGCUACUUGGAGUGCAGUCCGCAGAAGAACAAAGCUCUAAGGACCGUUCCCUACGCUGUGCCCCACAAGAGAGGUUAUUGAGCCAAGACGGCCUCACA